AAGCCCGAAUGUAUGAUCCUGGCUCAAAGUAAACGCAGUAUCUAGACCUAACACAUGUUGGUGAAGAGAUUAGAAGAUCAAUUUGCGGAGAGGUGAGUAAGAAAGAAAUUUACCCUUUAACCCUCAUAGAAGGUUAUUAUAAAGUAAAGGAUAAUUAAUUUUGAAGAUUAGAUAAAAGAUGAAAAUCUUGUCGAUAAUCUUUAGCAUAACGCCACAAUAACUCAAAAGUUGAGAGUUAUCCCAUGGCAGCAGUGAGGAAUAUUAGGCAAUCGGUGAAAACUGGACCUAGUCUAGAUAAGGCAAGGCAUAUAUAGCUAAGCCCUAAUCUAUCGCAAUUCGUGAUAAUGCAGCACUACACAACACAACACAGCAGGGUAUCAUUGAAUCAAUAAAAUGAAUAUUUAGAUUAGAAAUUCUGGCGAAAUCUGUGCCAGCAGCCGCGGUAACACAGAUAGAAUAGCGUUACUAUUUAAUUAAUAGGCAUGAAGCGUAUUUAGAUGGUUAAAAAACUAGAGUAAUAAAGGAGUAAUAGGAAUAAUCGGUGUAGAGAUGAAAUGUGUAAAUAUCGAUUGGAACUACAAAGGCGACGGCAUAUUGCUAUUUAUUACUGACAUUUCAAUACUAAAGUAUGGGCAGUAACGAGGAUUAGAGACCCUUUUAAUCCAUACCCUAAAUACUGAAUGAGAAUCAAAUUAUAAAUAUCAUUCCGCCUGGAUAGUAGGAUGGCAACAUUGAAACCCAAUGGAAUAGACGGGUCUUGAGAUAAGCCGUGAAGCAUGUGGUUUAAUUGGAUGAUCCCCCUUUAAUCUUACCUUUUCUUUUAAAUGGUGUUGCAUGGCUGUUGAUUAGCUUUUGAAGUAAUUUUUAAAAAGCAAUUCACCUCAUAGGAGGUUUCACUUCAAGUACGCAUGGCCCAAUGAAAAGGGCUACACACAUGCCACAAUUUCUAAUCCAAUUUCGAAAAUUAGAAGAAGUACAGAUUUUUAACUGAAACUCGUUAAAAUGAAGCUGGAAUGGCUAGUAAUCGUGUAAUAGUAAGAUACGGUGAAUAAUUAAAUCAAGAUUGUACUAACCGCCCGUCAAGGCAAUCUAGAUAUAUAAAGAAGCAAUAGAAAUUCGAAUAUUCUGGUUUGAUUUAUCAAUUUGAAAUUGAAU
rnacentral:rRNA from 1 species